rnacentral:misc_RNA from 1 species
CAUUGUCAUUCAAAACAAUGAACACUUCUUCCAACCAUGUAACUUCAUCCUCUUGGGCUGAGGAUAUAAAUGUUCAAAGUAUAUUUGUGAGUGCCUCACCUAUGAGCAAGAAAAGACGUAUGGCUUACAAAAAAAGUGGAUCUACAGAAGAGUAAAAAAAGGGAAAACAUUGGUUGAAAAAUACUUUUUCAUCGAAAAAAUCAGAAUUCAUGCUGGUGACUCAGUGGCAUCUGUAUUCGAAUUCAAUUCCUGGUUAAUUCGACUUAAUGCAAUCAAUUCUCUUCUAAUAGUUACACUACUAUUUCUGCCUCAUCAACUUCAAACAAAAUUUGUAAGCCUUCGCCUCUUAGUGUACCUAAGCCAGUGUUCCUCAUUAAGCUAUUAAUGGUCAUUUCCCUAAUCAUAACUAUAUUUUCCGUCGGAGCAACAUUAUUAAAUAUUGAGCCAUCCAUUGCAUGUGGACCCUUCAGGCAUUCAAUGUGUCCUACAGGUGAACCCUGCCUCAUUUCCAACUACAUUUACAAUUCUUUCAUGGAAGCUUUACGAUAUGAUUUUAUUAAAGAAAUAGUAAUCAUUCUGUAUGAUUGGAGGUCACUCAUGUUAAUUGCUGGAUGUCUCCUCAUAGUACUGUUCACCUCCAUAUGUGUAACUAUUAGUAAUAGAAAGAACUUUCAUGAUGCAAAUUUUCAAUUAUAUGAAUUAAGAAAGAAACGUGGAAUCCAAAAGUUGACAUGAAAUGUCCUCUUUGACGACUCACGACUCCUUCAAUUAAUAAACCAUUCUUUCAAUUUGAAUUUUGUAAAUAUUUUUUGUACAAAUUGUAACUUGUAAAAAGCGAUUGUAAAAAUUAUAACCAAAAAUAAGAUAAAUAAUUUUAGCUAAAUGAUAAAUUUACAGUAGGUUUGAGAUAAGGAAAAUGCAAUAAUUGUAUAAAUAUUGAUUAAUAU